CCUACGCCACCACCCACCCCCAAGAAAAGCACCCUUUUAUCCCAACCCCCCCCCCUCCCCAACAAAGAAUGAUUGAUGGCAAUAAAUUAUCAGGCAGCAGCAGCAGCAGCAGCAGCCAGUGUAGGCAGCAGGUCUUCCUAGCUCUCAGGAGCCCUGGGUUCGCCUUGGAGUCUUUUUUUUUUUUCUGGCGGUGGGUAGUCCCGGAUUUCAGUGACUUGUCUGCCUCAGGGGACAGAGGGGCGACCUCCUGGUCAGUUUAAGGGCUGCGGAGGGGUCCGCCCACCUGACUGAUAGAGAAGACUAGUAGGAUGGUAAGUGACAAAGAUGGCUAAUCGCAGUAGUAAAGAAAAAAGGAGCACCCCUCCUUCUUUCCCGAUUCAGCAUCUGCUCUCCUCCCUCAAAUUGAGUGUAUACUGGGGGAGGGAAGGUACUUGAUCGUGACACCCAAAGCAGAAGCUCUGAGAAAUAAAGAGUGCUCCUUUUGGAGGAAGGGACUGCUAGAAAGCCUUAGGGGGCACCGAUUGCUCCAGAAAGUUUUAACGGUGCAUCCAUAUUUAUGGCUGUUCCCCCCAUCCCCCGCCCCUUCCUCCUCUCUCAGUUCACCUCAACAGAAAUCCCAGAGAAGACGCAAGUCGAGUGCGGAUCACCCCCCGCAGGUCCUCACGCCUCAGACCCAAGCAGCAGCAGAGGAGGCGGCAGCAGUAGCAGAAGGAGCAGCAAUACAGAGAGAGAUUGCUUCUGGAGAUUCUUGGUGUUUGGAGGGAGUGGCUGAGAUUCCUGCCUUGACUUGGAGGAGACUUUUCCCCUGGAUCCUGUAUUAGCUUGCUGGAUGAGUGGCUGAGAUUCCUGCCUUGACUUUGGAGGAGGCUGCGUUGGUGGAACUCUGGCUGAAGACACUACUGGGACUUCUGGCUGAGGAUUACUGGGAAAUCAAGAUGGAUAUCAGACUUGGGGAAGCCUUACCAAGGCUGAGCAGGACAUCAGAGCAACACUUAGGGUGGUAGGCUAUAUAAUUCUCUACCUUCUUACAUUUUCCCAUUUUCACUCUUUCACCUCUUUGUAAAUAAAGCUUCUAAAAGUCAUUUUGACUUAAGGUAU
rnacentral:lncRNA from 1 species